ACACCCAGAGGUUAUCAACUGCAAAUGCUUGUCUGCACGUAUUGCACUGUUUGCAAAAAUCUGCAUUAUUAGUAGGUAUAAAAUCUUUUACGUGAGGCCUUGGAAAUCAAGAGUUUUACGAAGGCAUUAGUUCAUUUUUUUGGCCACAGAUGGCCUAUUGGCUGUCGCAUAAGAUGGAAGAGAGUUGGUGAUUGAAACUGAUUUUCGUGUAAAAAUUUCAAUAGACUCUCUUCGCCUAUCUAGUGGAUUCCUAUACACCCAGGAUUCUUGCUCUAGGAAAUCUUAGUUUGGCUCAACUUACGACUUCUUCACCUUCUGUUUUUGGGAAACCAUAAUCAUCAUGAUGCUUUUCCGGGUCUGAUGUUUCCGUUUGCCAAAAACUUGUACUCGCCAGAGCUUCUUCAGGUGUGUAAUCAGUUCUUUUCUACGAAAUCAAAGAGCUGCGGAGGAAAGCUCAGAUAAGGGGAACUUGACUUAUCCUAAUACAUAUAUAUACAUUCGAUUUAUUCUUAGCCUUUUAGUUUCAUUAUUCUACUCAAUAUACCUACAUACAUAUGUCAGUCUAAUGCUGCCGAAGUAAGUUACUAUGGAACUCAGCCAAUUUGCACUGAUCAGUUAUUGGAAAAAGAUUGUCAGAAGGAAACAUGGCUGUGUUUUAAAUAUGAUACUUUAUUUUAUUUAAAUGUGCGGUUGAAUUUUUAAUACAUAAAUUUUUGGAAGUACUUAGGUUCUAAGUAAAUCAAAAAUAUAUAAAUUUUAAAUAUAUCUAA